rnacentral:pre_miRNA from 1 species
AGUGAGAUAGCUGGGUCAAAUGAUGGUUUCAUUCCAAGUUUUCUGAGGAAUCUGCAUACUGCUUUCCAGAGUGGUUGUACCAAUUUGCAAUCCACCAGCAAU